rnacentral:rRNA from 1 species
CCUACGGGAGGCAGCAGUGAGGAAUAUUGGUCAAUGGCCGGAAGGCUGAACCAGCCAAGCCGCGUGAAGGACGAAGGUGCCAAGCAUUGUAAACUUCUUUUGUCAAGGGACAAAAUCAGGCUCGAGAGCCUGACCGAGGGUACUUGAAGAAAAAGCAUCGGCCAACUCCGUGCCAGGAGCCGCGGGAAUACGUAGGGAGCAAGCGUUAUCCGGAUUUACUUGGUGUAAAGGGAGCGUAGACGGCAGCACAAGUCUGGAGGGAAAUCCCGGGGCUUAACCCCCGAACUGCUUUGGAAACUGGGCGGCUGGAGUGCAGGAGGGGUAAGCGGAAUGCCUGGUGUAGCGGUGAAAUGCGUAGAUAUUAGGAGGAACCCCGGUGGCGAAGGCGGCUUACUGGCCUGUAACUGACGUUGAGGCUCGAAAGCGCGGGGAGCAAACAGGAUUAGAUACCCGAGUAGUC